rnacentral:rRNA from 1 species
UACGUAGGGGGCAAGCGUUGUCCGGAUUUAUUGGGCGUAAAGAGCGUGUAGGCGGCUAGGUAGGUCCGUUGUGAAAGCUCGAGGCUCAACCUCGAGACGUCGAUGGAAACCAUCUAGCUAGAGUCCGGAAGAGGAGAGUGGAAUUCCUGGUGUAGCGGUGAAAUGCGCAGAUAUCAGGAGGAACACCGGUGGCGAAGGCGGGUCUCUGGGCCGAUACUGACGCUGAGGAGCGAAAGCGUGGGGAGCGAACAGG